CAAUAGCGUAUACUAAAGUUGUUGCAGUUAAAAAGCUCGUAGUUGAAUUUCUGGAUGCGAAAGAUGGUCGGCACCUCACGGUGUCUGCACCUAUCAUUCGCGUUCAUCCUCGGGAGGAACGUGUGGUCUCUUUAGUGAGCCCGCUCGGGAAUCUCGUCAUUUACUGUGAGCAAAAUAGAGUGUUCAAAGCAGGCUUAAGCCGUUGAAUAUAUUAGCAUGGAAUAAUAAGAUACGACUUUGGUCUAUUUUGUUGGUUUGCAUUCCAAAGUAAUGAUUAAUAGGGAUAGUUGGGGGUAUUCGUAUUCAAUUGUCAGAGGUGAAAUUCUUGGAUUUAUGGAAGACGAACUACUGCGAAAGCAUUUACCAAGGAUGUUUUCAUUAAUCAAGAACGAAAGUUAGGGGAUCGAAGACGAUUAGAUACCAU
rnacentral:rRNA from 1 species